rnacentral:lncRNA from 1 species
UUGUUUUUGGAAAGUGUGAACUGACUUCAAAUCUAUCAAAUCAGAAAUAGCUAUAUCAAAAACAUUGAACAAUAGAAAUAUAGAUCUAUAUCUCUCUAUAAAAAGAUCUAUCCACUGCAUUACAUACCAAGUUCCAUUUUCGAACCAAACAUGGACAGAUCUUAUGUGAGAAGACACCACAAUCUGCAGUUAUCAAAGUCUAAAAUCUACAGAGCAAACUUGAGAUCUCCAACAUAGGUCAUUGCCAAAUUUACACCAGCUAGAGACAACACCAAGAAUCAUCGAAGUUAAUUAUGAUAACCAAAUUUGAGAGCCCCCGUCGUCGCAUGUUCCUCCAGUGGUUGCCAAAGUCACAUAUAGUACCAUGAGUUCCAUCGCCAGAGGAGAAUGAACUGCACGAUGCUAUAAAGGAAUAAAGGAGUGUCUCUUAGAUGAUCAUGCUAAAAUAUCAUGUGGCAAUCCCAACGUCGUACGCUACAAACACUAUGUUGAAUGCCUUAGUUUUCUACAUAAAUCAUACCCAUAUAAUCAUUUGCGAAAAAUGUACAAAUGUGACAAGCUCAAAUGACAGAAGGAUGUGUCAACUAAAGAAAUGGAUAUAUAAAAAGAAGGCAAUGCUCCAAAAGGGGAUUCUGGGAAUAGUUGCUCUUUACUAAUCUUCAUGGUUUCAAAUUGACCUACUGCUUUAAUAAAAAAGGUAUCGAUUAAAUAUCCCCUGGGCGGAGAAUGUCAUUGUCAUUAUGCGGCAAGAAGAUCAUGUUCCUUGUAGGUUGCAACAACAUAUUUGCAUAGCUAUGCUAAUAAUUCAGCAAAAAAUAUAUAAUCCUAUUCCUACAUGCUCGUGUUAGUAUCCUAAUAGUAGAGGGGGGGAUUAGUUAGGAUUGGUUCAAAAAUACCUUGGCUAAUCAUGCAACUUUUCUCCAUGAACCAAAACUCCAACCCAUGCAAGUGUAACAUACUUGCAAGCUCCUCAUGCAGAAGUUAUUAGUAAAAUAAGCAAGCAGUAUUACCGUUGCGAUAAGUUGAAAUGAACCUGGGAAAACUGAUAGAGCAUGUUCGUCCAUGUAACAUGAAGGUUACGGCAGAAUACAAGAAGCCUGAGCAUACAGCUGAAAUGCUCUUCGAAUGUUGUUGGUCCCAUGAACCAUGAAAAAAUUCAUCUACAGACAUUUUAUGCCAGAACCACAUGGUUCAUGGAACUGGGUAUAUGAUAUGUAGUAUACGGAGUGGGUAUAUGAUAUUUAACAAAGAUCUGCAUAGUAUACUACACAUCAUAUGCCGAACAUCCAGAUCUCUGCUAAAUAUGAUUGAUAUAGAACUACAAAAAUACGUGUCCUCGUAGCAACACACAAUCAGCCAAAUGUUUCAUAAAAAGCACUAUCAGUGUUUUUUACUGUUAAAUCAGUGUUGUUUAUUUUCCUCCACCAUCUCCGUCUCACAAUCCUCCAAACCUCCCAUACCCGCACUUCUAACACAUAAUUAUGCAGCUAUGUUAACACGAUAUCACGAUUCAAGUAGUGGUAAAAAAUUGUAAGUGUAAGGCACAUCUUAAUUCUCCUUCUCUGGCUCCCUUCUCCUUGAAUCAUUUUCUCCCUUGAGCUCCUCCAUAUUAAAUUUUAGUAACAAGGUGGUUUAAUGCAUAAGCAAGCAGGUAAAUUUUAGUACGACAAAAAUGAGUAUCUUGACAAAGUUUUAGUAGAAAUCCAAUUUUAGUAUAAGGGGAUAUUUUAGUAGCUUCAGAAAAAAUUCACAACAAGGAAUUUUGGUAGCUUCAUAGAAGUUUUAGUAUGAAUAUGAAAUACAAGUAGUUGUCCUGAUUCCUGAAAGAUAAGCAAUCAUUUAUGAGAGCUGAAUAAACUAUGUCAUUGGCAUAACAUCGUUACCUGCAAAGUAACUCAAGCAGUAACAUCAUUGUUAAUCCUAGUAUUAAAGAAUCACGAAUGCAUCAAGCUUAGUAAUGCUGAUUGUAGUAUCAGGAUGCAAAAUGUUACUAACCUCUUCUGAUUUUUUAAACAUGUAUACAACUACAUGCCUUUAGUGUUUUCCGUUGACAACUCAAAGAAAGAAUCAAAAGUCUAAAAGUCAGAACAGGAAACGUCACAUUAUAUUCACAAAACUUAUUGUUUGCUUGUUGUUUAAUAAGCCAAAUCCGAUCAAAUGUGAUGAUCUGCUAGAAACAUAGGACCCAUAUCCAAAAUACUACAAAACUAAAAAUGAUUGUCCCCCGAAUAAUGAUUGCACAAUGCAAAUAACGAAUACCUAACUGAACUAUACAAAACCACAUCCCAAUUCCUAAAUUUCCAGCAGUGCUUUCAUUCCAGCAACUAAAAUAAACCAUGAAAAGGAUUACAGUCAUUAAAAAAAUAGAUCAAUUAUGGUGAACUAAAUCAUGAACGAUUACUAAAAUCUGAAGUGCUGCUAAAAUUCACUUCCUCUCCUGAAAUUAACAAAAUAAAAGAUAUGAUAAAUUCCUCGAUCCAAUACAGGGAAGGAACAUAUCUAUACACCUACUUCUCACACAUCUUUUCUCCAAACUACUUCAGAACUGAGAGUUGUACACCGAUACGGUGAGAAGGCAAACAAAAAGCUUCUACAUUCCAGUCCUAGGACAUCAUCGAAGCAAGAGAAACAUCAAGUAACAAUCAACCAUAGAUUGAAUUCUAAAACAAUAAUGUGAAAGAAUGAAUUAGAACCACAGUUGUAGUAUCUGGUAACUGUAACAAACUACCAGUCCUGGAAGUACACAGAUAUAUCGUCUUGCUAAUUUUAGGCUAACAAUCUCUUCUUAAGGUUGCAAAGUUUGAUAUGCGCUUAACUGUUUAACUGAUGAAUGUAAUCAUUGUCUGAUUUUGCGUAGCCAUGCAAACCAAUUAAUUGUUUUUAAAUUAAAUCUCACCAUUACAUUUGAUUGUAGAUCUAACCAAGGGUGUGGGGUGCAUGAGCAGUCUAUUAAUCUUGACAUAAACUAAAAAGUGAUUACAUUGACAUGAUGCAGUUCUUUGGUCUUGAUAGUUAGCUGAUAUAAGUGACAUAAUAAGUCAGGAAUUUCACACAACGAAGGUGCCCGAUCGAUAUACAUAUUCUAAAUGCCCUACAGACCUCGAGCAUGUUAGGAACACCUGGGCAUGCUUCCUUUGAAAGCUAGAAAAACAUCUACGUAACAUAGCACAAGUAAAUGAAUAACUUUUGAACCAUGAUUCGGGAGAGCUCUUGAAACUAUUAAAUAGGUAUAAACGGGAAGGAUUGGAUGAGCAUUACAAAUUCCAAGAGUCAGACCAUUGUCACUAAUAUUAGCUGAUAUGAGUACAGGGGGAUGCAACUGAAGAAUAGUAGAUUCGUCAGAGAUAAGUAGAGGGAAUGCAACUGUAGAAUAACAAUCAAUCCAGUAGUUAAUUUUUCUUUAAAUGAAUACAUUUUGAUGGACUCAAAAUCCUCUUGCGUUCUGACGCUAUGCAGCCAUUGAUUUAGAGUUCAUUUUUUUUGUGGGAUGAACAAAAUAAACUUGGUGGCAGACUAAAACUUGUGGCGUCAUGGUACAUCCCUCUUAAUAGUUUACACCUCUUCUCAAAUUAUCAAAUUAAACAAUACUCGUGCCUGGCCUCAGAAACCAGGUUCAGCAACAAUUCCCUUCUUUUAUGUGUAGGUAUACACAAUACUCGUUAUUUGUAAGGUUUGCGGCAGGUCACUGUUGAGGAGAACCGACAAGAGAUUCAAGGAUAAUGUAGCGGAUAGCUUUGAACUACAGUUUUUGUGGUUACUAUUUCUCUGGUGAUGAUUCUAGCAGAUAACUUGUUGGCAUAUUUCCACUAGCAUCUUUGGGAUCUAAGUGUACUUCAGAUUACCGUUGUAUAGUUUACUUCUCUGAACAAUUCAACUCCACUUCACUGUUGUAUAUAGUUUACUUCUCUGGCCCGCUAAAAGAGAUAUUUGGUUCAUUAGCCCGUCUGAAUAUGUAGUGGCCAUCGAAUUGACAUAGCAGAGGUUGAGUGUUGUACUUCUAUUAGCAAAGAUCAUAUACGGUUCUUAUUUUCAUAUGAUUUGCUCGUCAGCUAGUAAGACAUUGUCUUGGAAGAUACAAGCAGCCAAAACAUGUAGACAACACCAGAUUUUAAGAUACCCUUCUCAUCGGAGCUCCUUCAGUUCAGAGGAUCUAAGGUAUAGGUAAUAGAUCUCACCUGAAUCAGCAAGAUGAGUACCUCUGAAUGGAACCACUGGUGUACUACUCGAUGGGGGUUGUGAGCUGAUUGUAGUUCUAUUGCUUCAGAGUUGUGAAUACGCAGGUUGCACUAUCCAUACAUACCUAUUAGGUAUUGAUCAAAAAACCUGUGGACUUCAUGAAAUAGUUGAAGUAAUGCCACAAUCCAAUUUCACGGUCCUUGUAUAUGAGAGUGGACUUGUACAGUCUGCUACAGUAUAAGAAAUCACAUAUCUUGCCGUGAUAUUUUAAGGCAACCUACAUGAAAGACCGACAUCAAUAGUAGUGAGACAGUCUGCACGGCCCACUACUGCUUCGUUCAGCACUAUGGCCAUGGAAGCCCACACUCUACCAGUGACACCAUGCCCUAUUGACACCAUGCUUCAUAAACGUGCUACCAUUGUCCAUGGAUUAUGAAGGCCCUCCGCCAAUCCCAUCAUGGUGCAUCCUAAUUGCAGAGUUCAAGUGAGAUGAAAAAAGAUCAGGGCGUUGCAAAGGUCAGCACGGGAGUCGUCAACAACAGUGCACCCGUUUGAAUAAAACAAAUAAAAAAUCAAACGAGAGGGAUCCUGCCAUCAUCAAUUGGUGGACGGGGCAACCUACUGGCGCUGAGUAACGACCGUCGCCCGCAUACCCUAGCGGGAGGCAACGUUCGUUGCCAGAGGACGAGAGGUUUAGCACACUUGCAACUGCAAGUUAAUAAAUCCAACAGCAGUCGAUUCGUCCCAACCUACUAACACCGAAUCCACCUUGAAUGAUAGAGCAACAUGUGUAGAGUGAACGUAGACUGAAUUUAGACAGAAUGUAGUUGGACAUAGCAGACCUGGUUCGGCGAGGGCGAUCCAGGCGGCCGGAAUUGAAACCACCCUGCCCUGGAGACACGGCGGCGGUGACGGCGUCUCCCGGAGAUCGGCGGAGGCGAUCCCGGUGACAGGGAUUCAAGCCGCCCUGCCCUGGAUCUGCGGCGGCGUCGUCUUCCCUCGGACGGCGGCUUCUGCCCUACUUCUCAACCUCGGAUGGAGGCGGCGGCGACUCCCCUCGGCUGUGGCGGAGUCUCCCCUCAAUGGCGGCGGGGUCUACCCUCGGACGGCGGCGGCAACAAUGAUCGAUAUGCUGGAGAUCGGGGAUGGGAUCGAGAGGUUAUUUUUUC